rnacentral:lncRNA from 8 species
UCAGGACUUAGUCUACUGCUGCAGUCAGGACAUACAGUCAGAACAUACAGUCACUUACUGCUUCAGUCAGGACAUACAGUCACUUACUACUGCAGUCAGGACAUACAGUCAGAACAUACAGUCACUUACUGCUGCAGUCAGGACAUACAGUCACUUACUGCUGCAGUCAGUACAUACAGUCACUUACUGCUUCAGUCAGGACAUACAGUCAGAACAUACAGUCACUUACUGCUGCAGUCAGGACAUACAGUCACUUACUGCUGCAGUCAGUACAUACAGUCACUUACUGCUUCAGUCAGGACAUACAGUCAGAACAUACAGUCACUUACUGCUGCAGUCAGGACAUACAGUCACUUACUACUGCAGUCAGGACAUACAGUCAGAACAUACAGUCACUUACUGCUGCAGUCAGGACAUACAGUCAGGACAUACAGUCACUUACUGCUUCAGUCAGGACAUACAGUCAGAACAUACAGUCACUUACUGCUGCAGUCAGGACAUACAGUCACUUACUGCUGCAGUCAGGACAUACAGUCACUUACUGCUGCAGUCAGGACAUACAGUCACUUACUGCUGCAGUCAGGACAUACAGUCACUUACUGCUUCAGUCAGGACAUACAGUCAGAACAUACAGUCACUUACUGCUUCAGUCAGGACAUACAGUCACUUACUGCUGCAGUCAGGACAUACAGUCAGGACAUACAGUCACUUACUGCUGCAGUCAGGACAUACAGUCAUACUGCUCAGUCAGGACAUACAGUCAAUACAGUCACUUACUGCUGCAGUCAGGACAUACAGUCAGGACAUACAGUCACUUACUGCUGCAGUCAGGACAUACAGUCAGGACAUACAGUCACUUACUGCUGCAGUCAGGACAUACAGUCAGGACAUACAGUCACUUACUGCUGCAGUCAGGACAUACAGUCAGGACAUACAGUCACUUACUGCUGCAGUCAGGACAUACAGUCAGAACAUACAGUCACUUACUGCUGCAGUCAGGACAUACAGUCACUUACUGCUGCAGUCAGUACAUACAGUCACUUACUGCUGCAGUCAGGACAUACAGUCAGAACAUACAGUCACUUACUGCUGCAGUCAGGACAUACAGUCAGGACAUACAGUCACUUACUGCUUCAGUCAGGAACAUACAGUCACUUACUGCUGCAGUCAGUACAUAUAGUCAGGACAUACAGUCACUUAGUGCUGCAGUCAGUACAUACAGUCACUUACUGCUGCAGUCAGUACAUACAGUCACUUACUGCUGCAGUCAGGACAUACAGUCAGAACAUACAGUCACUUACUGCUUCAGUCAGGACAUACAGUCACUUACUGCUUCAGUCAGGACAUACAGUCACUUACUGCUGCAGUCAGUACAUACAGUCACUUACUGCUUCAGUCAGUACAUACAGUCAGAACAUACAGUCACUUACUGCUGCAGUCAGGACAUACAGGCACUUACUGCUGCAGUCAGUACAUACAGUCACUUACUGCUGCAGUCAGGACAUACAGUCAGUACAUACAGUCACUUACUGCUGCAGUCAGGACAUACAGUCAGUAGAUACAGUCACUUACUGCUGCAGUCAGUACAUACAGUCAGGACAUACAGUCACUUACUGCUGCAGUCAGUACAUACAGUCAGGACAUACAGUCACUUACUGCUGCAGUCAGUACAUAGUCAGGACAUACAGUCACUUACUGCUGCAGUCAGUACAUACAGUCUCUUACUGCUUCAGUCAGGACAUACAGUCACUUACUGCUUCAGUCAGGACAUACAGUCACUUACUGCUGCAGUCAGGACAUACAGUCACUUACUGCUGCAGUCAGGACAUACAGUCACUUACUGCUGCAGUCAGGACAUACAGUCAGAACAUACAGUCACUUACUGCUGCAGUCAGGACAUACAGUCACUUACUGCUGCAGUCAGGACAUACAGUCACUUACUGCUGCAGUCAGGACAUACAGUCACUUACUGCUGCAGUCAGGACAUACAGUCAGGACAUACAGUCACUUACUGCUUCAGUCAGGACAUACAGUCACUUACUGCUGCAGUCAGGACAUACAGUCACUUACUACUGCAGUCAGGACAUACAGUCACUUACUGCUGCAGUCAGGACAUACAGUCAGGACAUACAGUCACUUACUGCUGCAGUCCGUACAUACAGUCAGAACAUACAGUCACUUACUGCUGCAGUCAGGACAUACAGUCACUUACUGCUGCAGUCAGGACAUACAGUCAGAACAUACAGUCACUUACUACUGCAGUCAGUACAUACAGUCAGAACAUACAGUCACUUACUGCUGCAGUCAGUACAUACAGUCAGGACAUACAGUCACUUACUGCUUCAGUCAGGACAUACAGUCACUUACUGCUUCAGUCAGGACAUACAGUCACUUACUGCUGCAGUCAGUACAUACAGUCAGGACAUACAGUCACUUACUGCUGCAGUCAGUACAUACAGUCAGGACAUACAGUCACUUACUGCUGCAGUCGGUACAUACAGUCACUUACCUACUGCUGCAGAUGAUAUAGACUCAGUAGCGCACUGUAGCAGUCUAUGGACUAAACAUACAGAAGAACCUACCUACUGUAGCAGUCUAUGGACUAAACAUACAGAAGAACCUACCUACUGUAGCAGUCUAUGGACUAAACAUACAGAAGAACCUACCUACUGUAGCAGUCUAUGGACUAAACAUACAGAAGAACCUACCUACUGUAGCAGUCUAUGGACUAAACAUACAGAAGAACCUACCUACUGUAGCAGUCUAUGGACUAAACAUACAGAAGAACCUACCUACUGUAGCAGUCUAUGGACUAAACAUACAGAAGAACCUACCUACUGUAGCAGUCUAUGGACUAAACAUACAGAAGAACCUACCUACUGUAGCAGUCUAUGGACUAAACAUACAGAAGAACCUACCUACUGUAGCAGUCUAUGGACUAAACAUACAGAAGAACCUACCUACUGUAGCAGUCUAUGGACUAAACAUACAGAAGAACCUACCUACUGUAGCAGUCUAUGGACUAAACAUACAGAAGAACCUACCUACUGUAGCAGUCAAGGUCAUAAGGUCAUUGAUGUUCUGUGGAAGGGCCUGAAAUAG